rnacentral:rRNA from 1 species
UACGUAGGGGGCAAGCGUUGUUCGGAAUUACUGGGCGUAGAGGGCGCGUAGGCGGCACGGCAAGUCAGGAGUGAAAGCCCGGGGCUCAACCCCGGAAUGUCUUUUGAAACUGCCGAGCUAGAGUGCGGAAGAGGCAACUGGAAUUCCCAGUGUAGCGGUGAAAUGCGUAGAUAUUGGGAAGAACACCUGAGGCGAAGGCGGGUUGCUGGGCCGACACUGACGCUGAGGCGCGAAAGCCAGGGGAGCGAACGGG